AGUUCUGUGGAUUACCACUUCUAGUAAGUUUUUAGAUUUCAUCUUUUCCGCAAAACUCCAUAUUUAACGUCUUUUAUUUGUAAAACCUACCUACCACUAAUAGUCGAGCAGCCAGGUACACCUAGUGUGCUACACUACUGUAAUAUAUUACUAAAAAUAAUUUGAAGCUCUGAUCAUGUUCUGAGUAGAAUUAGAAUUAGAAUAAGAAUAAGAAUUAAAUUUACACAGAAAUACAACAAGAAUAAUAAAUAAAUUAAAAAAGCUAGGAUUUUCAAAUCAGUUCAAAAAUUGUUACUGUAAUAAAUUAUUAAAAAGGCCGACAGUGAUCAUACUUGUAAAUCUCAUAUCUUAAUGAAUAGAUAAAUGUAACAGAUUUGUAGUGCUGUGAUUUAUAGUUUAAAAUUCAUUCAAGACGCAUCUGACUAAUUCCAAAUAGUCCAGAUAAUAUAGAUUACAGUAUUAUCUAAAACAUCUCCUGUUCCUCCAGGUCUGCACUGGGCGUGUAAACUAGGUAGACUAGACAUGGUGCACGUGCUGAUCUCGGCAGACAGCGACGUUAACUCACGUGCUUUUAACGGAAUGGUUCCACUACACAUGGCCGCGCAGUGUGGCCACGAGGAUGUAAUCGACCUGCUCAUCAAAGAAAAAGCAGACAAGUUGACUAGGGAUAAUAACGGCAAGUUACCAGCGUUCUACCUGCCGAGCAAGACUUCUGAUAGGAUAAAGGAGUUGUUAGCGCCCCCGCCUCCCCUCACUACCAAAGUCCGCAAUCACCCAGUCUCAAACGACAAACCAAACUUCUCCCUCCGUCGCCACAAACGAGAGAAAUCAGACACCACAUCCGACCACUACCACCGCUCCAAAACCCUGAACAACAACUUCAAAUACCAGUCACUAGGCAAACACUCCGGCUCCAACAAACGCCCCCUCAGUGGCAUCAGGAUAGACCACAUCACGCUAGAUGGAGGUGGAGAGACUGGUGCUACCAUGGUUAAAAGUAAGGAGGAAGCGCUGGAGUCGGUGUGCAGCAACUCUACCCUUUCACCACGCUCUGUAAAGAGGAUCUCCCUCGGAACACCUCUGUCAGUACUGUACGAUACUGAGCCCUUGUUGCUGCACCACGAGAGUAACAGUAAGGUUAGUAACCACGUGGGCUUUAUGGAGAUGGAGGAAGAAGUGGACGGGGGUUCCAGGGCUAGGAGGAGCAAGAGGAGGACUAGUCUACUGUGCUGCUGUCCCAGGAGGAGACGGCGGAAUAGUUUGUAACAGUGGUAAUUGGUAGAUAAUGACUUUAUAAUUGGGUGGUAAUGACUUUAUUAUUGGUUGAUGGGUUAAGUGGUGGAGGAUUUGGAGUUGCUGGGUCUUCGUUACUCACGAUUCAUUGAGGCUCUGAAAUCCUCAGGGACACAAUCAGAUAGACAUUGAAAUACUUUUGAUAACGGUAGAUGUAAAUGCUCAAUAUUUUAUGAAAUAUAUUUGGACGGUGUUGAAGACAAAGACACCGAAAUGAUUCUAUUAUGAAGACUAAAAAUCCUUAACUUGUAUCAAUAUGCACAAUUCGAUGAUGAUGAGAGAGGAAUGCGUGAUCUACUGCUGCUCAGCAGAAUCAGCUGAUAUCGGCUCAAGCAGAGUGGUACAAAAUUGGGGAAAUCACUCGAAACUUUGGAAGCGGGCUGAUAUUGUCAAGCGGGUGAGGUUGGAAGGAGAGGAGAUAAGUUUUACUGAUUUGGUAGAAGGAGGUGACCUCAGUGAGCAGCUACAUCUCAAAGAGUCUCUGGAAGUUUCACUCGGCCGGCCCUAACUCGGCGACCCUCCACCUCUUCCCUUGACGACACCAUCAAACGAACUCGCAGCAACAGCGAGACAGGAAGUGUCUCCAAAAACUCUAAGAAACAGUACAUGUCGGGUAUUAAAUUUAUCCGUUCUAGCUUCCGGUCAAAAAAGGGAGGUCGGCACGAAAAGGGCUCCCGCACUGGUUCUCCUGAUCUUUGCUCGCCGGAGACGCCGGUUAAAUUUGUGCGUCCUCGACCGUUUCUUAGCAACAAAUCAAACUCUCUCCCCCCACUUCCACCUCUAUCAAGAUCUUACAAAAACUUCAGAGCCUCAAUCAAAGUCAAAAAGACUAAAUCAGCAAGUGCUGUUGUUUGAAAGGGUCAAAAUGACUGCUAAUUCUAGGUGUAAAUUUAUUGUUUAGAAAGACAUUGUGUAGCUUCAAGCUUGUAUAUUAUUUCAUCAUGAGUUUUUCAUUUAGGAGGCGCAAUUUAUGUUUUCUUCUGUGCUUGCCAUUCUGAUGUGAUAAGUAAAUUUUAUCAUGACGGUAUCACUUUGACUUACUGUGUUCAAGAAUAUUCAGUUGAAAACGGUAAUUUUUAAAUACGCAUAAUAUUAAUUUAAAGUUGUGCUACCGCCCUACCGGUCAUUACAAAAUCUAACUUCAGUGUGCACUAUAGAUUAACUAUUACUAACUAUUAUACUACUGCAGAUUAACUAGAUUAAUUGUUAAUAGAUUUGUCAAUAUAUCAACAAAAUUUUAAAGUGUACUUUGUAAAUUAUUGGAUAUAGAUGUAAUAUUGAAUAUGUGAUAUUUUUCUUUCAUUAAAAUUAAACUUAAAGAUUGUCUU